AUUCAGAUGACGAGUCCCAAACAAGACGAAAUGCGCAUCCUAGAU
rnacentral:hammerhead_ribozyme from 1 species